rnacentral:lncRNA from 1 species
UCAAAACGUAGAACAGUUACGCAAUAAAGUUCCGAUAAUUUGGGAUCACUAACAUGUAUUUUGAAUAACUAUUCUAGCUACAUUAUAUUCAUUUCUUUUUCGGUGUAUUCUUGCAAGUUCUUUUGUUAUGCCCUUCACCUCCACAAUUGCCACAUGACACCUUGUAUUUCUUUGAGUUUAUUUCAUCAAAUGUUUUAUAUCUUUCCUUGUGAGGUCUUCCUGGCUGCCUUUUAUCU